rnacentral:lncRNA from 1 species
UGGCCUCUUUCUGAACUCCCUCGACCAUCCGAGCUUCCAUAAUACCAUCCAGACUUCUCCGAUAAUGAGCUCCUCCAUUCAUCCACCGGGCUGCUCCAAACACUUUCUGAACUUCACUAUCAGCCUAAUUUCUACAGUGAUCGACUAUUCUCUGAAUCUCUUCCAGACUUUUUUCGGUCACGAACGACCUUACUCCGAACUUCUUCCUGACUUUGUCAAUAUCCGAGCUUCUCCAACAGUAGGACU